rnacentral:lncRNA from 1 species
UGUUGACCUCCAAAAAUGGCUCUUCCACGUGGCCAACUUGUAGCUACUCCACGUAUUCCUCCCUACGAAAUGAACAAACUGUCAGGCGCACACGGCCGUAACCGACGGUGGUGGCGGCCGUAUACACUCCGACGGUCAAGUCAGAUUUGGGUGGUCGGAACAGUGUCCAGGGACUACACAAAUCAAUCAGUCAAUAAAGGGGGAGGAGAAUAUAUAAACUUGUUAUGGAGUGCUAUCUAUUGAGAGUUUCAUUACCUUUGCCUCUGGCCAAUCUUUGGGUAUUUAUAGAUGGUAUGGACCGUGGGAUGUGGAACACGUGUAUACAUCUGACGGUAUGAAGUGUCUGCUCAUAGGCGUCAAUCAGCCGCGCUUGUAGAGUGGGCGGACAGUUUGUUUCCCCCGAGUUGAAUUGACAUAAAGUUGAUAAGUCACAUCAAAUGGCUUUAUGGGGGACGUCAAAUCAAUUUAAACCUUAUAUGCAGAGCAAAUCUUAAGUUGGCAGCGAAUCUUCUAACGGGGCUUGAACCCGACCUCGGGACGUCAUUGACAGGAAUCGGUGUAUUACUUCGGGGGGGAGGAUUCGGGAGUUCGGAAUGGUCUAAUUGAUUUCACCGGAUUCGGAGUGGCGAGAUGGCACUUAGGUACGUCGGUACCGAGGCUCUCAAAAUGAGGCGUAACAGUGGUUCGGAGUGGCGAGAUGGCACUUAGGUACGUCGGUACCGAGGCUCGUAAAAUGAGGCGUAACAGUGGUCCCCCAAAUCUGAGAAUAAAUAUUUAUAUUAUACGUGGAUUUGUUUUCCUGACCGGAUCGCGACAUGGGGGUAGCUGAAACUUUGUAGAGCAUGGGAAGAACGCAGAGCCGAGGCGAUGAGCCAGUGGUAGAGCCGAGGCGAUGAGCCAAUGAUACGAUCGCAUCGGGUACGUUAAAGCGUUAUAAAAAUUUGAGGGACUAGUCUUCACCGAAGCGUUGUCAGGAAGAGGGAGACGGAUCAAGCUCUGCAAAGCGUGGGAUGGGGGUGCAGCGACCGAGGUGAUAGAAAACGGGGCGAUUGCAUCGGGUGCGCCCAGGCUUUGUAAAGUUGGGGGACUCGUUCUCGCCGAAGCGUUGACGGACAAAAGGGUCGACGCGUGGGGAGAUGGCUAGAACUUCGUAAAGCAAUGGAGGGAACGCAGCGCCCGAGGUGAUUAGCGACUGGGGCCUUCGCAUCGGUUGCGGCCAAGCUUUGUAAAGUGGGGGGAGGAGAUCAUCCGAGGCGACCCAGAAGUCCAAUGAUUUGACAACUGUUGCGUGUUUCCAAGGUGACAGUUGGGUACCACACCCAUUCCCCUAGAAGGCUGCUGCGGCCAGUAAUCAUUAUUGACGGCUGUUGUUAACCGAGGCGACGCGUUUUAAUUUAGCGUGAAAGCCACAGCGACAUCUUGGGCGUAGAUCAAAUCUGACGUUUCAUUUCAACGGCUGGGAUCGAGAAUACAACGGACGGUUUAGAUUGAUCGUAUUUGACUUCAAAGGUGGAGAUUGGAUUCGUCUUUCCUAUAAAAGGUGAACUUUGGGGGCUUGCCAGAGUUUCUACCUUUGCCACGAAAAAACAAAAUUUUCUCCCAAGUUUUCGGCGAUUUCCAGCGUUCUCCAAGUAACUCCGGCGACAGAGAGAGUGGUAUUUUCGGCGAUCUUGCACCAUUUCCGGCUAGGAAACACCUUCAAACCCGUAAGUUCCAGUACCCAUUCAGACUAAAAAUUUC